rnacentral:rRNA from 1 species
AGCAGCCGCGGUAAUUCCAGCUCCAAUAGCGUAUAUUAAAGUUGUUGCAGUUAAAAAGCUCGUAGUUGAAUUUCGGGAUCAAUACGUCGGUCGUGCUUCGGUACGUACUGGCGUAAUUGAUUUCUCCCUUCUGACGAACCAUGAUGUCAUUAACUUGGUGUCAUGGGAAAUCAGGACUGUUACUUUGAAAAAAUUAGAGUGUUUAAAGCAGGCUCACGCUUGAAUACAUUAGCAUGGAAUAAUGAAAUAGGACGUUCGAUCCUACUUUGUUGGUUUUUAGGAUCAACGUAAUGAUUAAUAGGGAUAGUUGGGGGCAUUAGUAUUCAAUUGUCAGAGGUGAAAUUCUUGGAUUUAUUGAAGACUAACUACUGCGAAAGCAUUUGCCAAGGAUGUUUUCAUUAAUCAAGAACGAAAGUUAGGGGAUCGAAGACGAUCAGAUACCGUCGUAGUCUUAACCAUAAACUAUGCCGAUAGGGAUCGGAUGAUGUUAAUUUUUAAUGACUCACUUCGGCGUACCG